GGCUUCGGGGUGUCACACGUAAGAUUGCAAGUCUUAAGAAGCAGAGUAGAUCUGCCGGGGCUU
rnacentral:tRNA from 1 species